rnacentral:snoRNA from 1 species
AACAACAGUGAUGAGUCAUACAGACCUGUAAUGAUUUGCGAGCGUGAACGCAAGCAUUAAUGAACAUCUAAGGGACUGAGUUGUU